AGACCCGAAACCCGGUGAUCUAGCCAUGGGCAGGUUGAAGGUUGGGUAACACUAACUGGAGGACCGAACCGACUAAUGUUGAAAAAUUAGCGGAUGACCUGUGGCUGGGGGUGAAAGGCCAAUCAAACCGGGAGAUAGCUGGUUCUCCCCGAAAGCUAUUUAGGUAGCGCCUCGUGAACUCAUCUCCGGGGGUAGAGCACUGUUUCGGCUAGGGGGCCAUCCCGGCUUACCAACCCGAUGCAAACUGCGAAUACCGGAGAAUGUUAUCACGGGAGACACACGGCGGGUGCUAACGUCCGUCGUGAAGAGGGAAACAACCCAGACCGCCAGCUAAGGUCCCAAAGUCAUGGUUAAGUGGGAAACGAUGUGGGAAGGCCCAGACAGCCAGGAUGUUGGCUUAGAAGCAGCCAUCAUUUAAAGAAAGCGUAAUAGCUCACUGGUCGAGUCGGCCUGCGCGGAAGAUGUAACGGGGCUAAACCAUGCACCGAAGCUGCGGCAGCGACACUUUAGUGUUGUUGGGUAGGGGAGCGUUCUGUAAGCCGUUGAAGGUGUCCUGUGAGGGGUGCUGGAGGUAUCAGAAGUGCGAAUGCUGACAUAAGUAACGAUAAAGCGGGUGAAAAGCCCGCUCGCCGGAAGACCAAGGGUUCCUGUCCAACGUUAAUCGGGGCAGGGUGAGUCGACCCCUAAGGCGAGGCCGAAAGGCGUAGUCGAUGGGAAACGGGUUAAUAUUCCCGUACUUGGUGUUACUGCGAAGGGGGGACGGAGAAGGCUAUGUUGGCCGGGCGACGGUUGUCCCGGUUUAAGCGUGUAGGUGUGUGUUCCAGGUAAAUCCGGUUCACUUUAACACUGAGGCGUGAUGACGAGGCACCACGGUGCUGAAGCAACAAAUGCCCUGCUUCCAGGAAAAGCCUCUAAGCAUCAGGUAACAUCAAAUCGUACCCCAAACCGACACAGGUGGUCAGGUAGAGAAUACCAAGGCGCUUGAGAGAACUCGGGUGAAGGAACUAGGCAAAAUGGUGCCGUAACUUCGGGAGAAGGCACGCUGACACGUAGGUGAAGUGAUUUACUCACGGAGCUGAAGUCAGUCGAAGAUACCAGCUGGCUGCAACUGUUUAUUAAAAACACAGCACUGUGCAAACACGAAAGUGGACGUAUACGGUGUGACGCCUGCCCGGUGCCGGAAGGUUAAUUGAUGGGGUCAGCGCAAGCGAAGCUCCUGAUCGAAGCCCCGGUAAACGGCGGCCGUAACUAUAACGGUCCUAAGGUAGCGAAAUUCCUUGUCGGGUAAGUUCCGACCUGCACGAAUGGCGUAAUGAUGGCCAGGCUGUCUCCACCCGAGACUCAGUGAAAUUGAACUCGCUGUGAAGAUGCAGUGUACCCGCGGCAAGACGGAAAGACCCCGUGAACCUUUACUAUAGCUUGACACUGAACAUUGAGCCUUGAUGUGUAGGAUAGGUGGGAGGCUUUGAAGCGUGGACGCCAGUCUGCGUGGAGCCGACCUUGAAAUACCACCCUUUAAUGUUUGAUGUUCUAACGUGGACCCGUAAUCCGGGUUGCGGACAGUGUCUGGUGGGUAGUUUGACUGGGGCGGUCUCCUCCUAAAGAGUAACGGAGGAGCACGAAGGUUGGCUAAUCCUGGUCGGACAUCAGGAGGUUAGUGCAAUGGCAUAAGCCAGCUUGACUGCGAGCGUGACGGCGCGAGCAGGUGCGAAAGCAGGUCAUAGUGAUCCGGUGGUUCUGAAUGGAAGGGCCAUCGCUCAACGGAUAAAAGGUACUCCGGGGAUAACAGGCUGAUACCGCCCAAGAGUUCAUAUCGACGGCGGUGUUUGGCACCUCGAUGUCGGCUCAUCACAUCCUGGGGCUGAAGUAGGUCCCAAGGGUAUGGCUGUUCGCCAUUUAAAGUGGUACGCGAGCUGGGUUUAGAACGUCGUGAGACAGUUCGGUCCCUAUCUGCCGUGGGCGCUGGAAGAUUGAGGGGGGCUGCUCCUAGUACGAGAGGACCGGAGUGGACGCAUCACUGGUGUUCGGGUUGUCAUGCCAAUGGCACUGCCCGGUAGCUAAAUGCGGAAAAGAUAAGUGCUGAAAGCAUCUAAGCACGAAACUUGCCCCGAGAUGAGUCUUCCCUGAGACUUUGAGUCUCCUGAAGGAACGUUAAAGACGAUGACGUUGAUAGGCCGGGUGUGUAAGCGCAGCGAUGCGUUGAGCUAACCGGUACUAAUGAACCGUGAGGCUUAACCUU
rnacentral:rRNA from 1 species